CUGAGUUGGUGACUGUGUCCACCAGAGAAGAUUUUUUGAAGAUGAGCAGUUGAAUCAUAACCCUUCGAAAAAAACAAAUCACUUUUAAUAACGCCUUCCGCUCCACACAUCAAACGCUGUCUUGCAAUUAUAUUCGAGACAUUCACCGAAACAUCAUAGCCUAUUCAGCUGAAGCGCAGCGGUUCUCACUGCGUUAUUUUCCAAGGAUACACGAGGAUACAACAUAAGAAUGUGAACAGUCUUAUUUAUCUGAAGUGAAGCUAUGACAUGGGAAUAAGCAUCCGUUAUGGUCACAUCACGCAAAGCGUCCCAACAUUUUUGGAAACGUGGUUGUACAUGGACUCCUGUCUACCCUGGUUGACGGAACUGAGCAGAGUUGGUGUACUAAACAGUGGUCUCUCAUCAACUAUUUGUGCCAUACUACCGCAGUGUUUACAGGGGCUGACUGAGUGCCGGAAUGUGUGACCCACCUCUACAGUUCAUAAUGAGAUGAUUAUGGAAAAGAGUGAAAUUAUUUGGGUAUUUGUAAAACAGCAGCCACACAUCAAUUAUCAUGUCAGCAGAAUAAGACCCUCUGGAAUUAUUGGAAAGGCGAAACACCAUGCACUUUCAAUACUCUGUGAAGUUCAUCAUAAUUUAUUUACUCUUUAGCCAACUAAAUACGUAAUUUCCCCAGUUGGGGGAGGACAACACAACAAAAUUAUCUUGAGAUUCAAAGUUUUGUUUUAAUAUGAUGAUUAUCACAUGAUUGCACAUAAACACAUUUUCACAUCCAUUUUUCACUUUUUAUUUUUUACUGGAGUUAUGUACUUUGCUAACAUAAAGGGUGCUAAAAUCAUUUCUAGUUAUUUGCCAGGGGAGUCUCCUUGUCUCCAGUUUGAUUCACAUGAUUUCACCUGUGCAGACGCAACUGAUAUUUUAAGAGAUGGUUCAAUCUAAAACUAUAUACGUGUGAAAUGAUGGUGUCGUAUUUUACGAUAGGCCAUUCUUUACUUCUUUCCCUCCCUAGUGUUAGCAUCAUUACAUUGGUCCAAAUUCAUGAAUUGUAACUGUGCAAUCCACAAAAUCUGCACUGCAAGUGGAAAAUGUUGCAAGUGGAAAUAAAGAGUGGCAAAUGUAGUGAUUAAUUUGACACCAGAGCUUCUGACAGAGCCAACAGUUGAUCUCUCCCCUUCACAAAUUUUUUUCUUUUAUCCAUUUCAUUUGCUCUACGAUUGAUUUCAAUCCGUAUUCUAUACUGGUGUGUGUAUUUAUUUUUGUUUUCCUUUUCAGGAGAAAAUGUAAUGGCCACUCAUGCUGGGUGUCUUUUAAAAUCAAUUUUUCCUGUCUUUUGACAGCAUUAAAUGGACAGCUCCAUGAGUGUAUUUCAUAACCCAUUUUUCAUCCCCACCUGUUUUGGUUUUGCUUGUCCGUAUUUUAUUUGUUAGUUUCCUUUUGUUCGAGUGGUUACAUUCUUUGGUUGUUUGUUAGGGAACAUAACACUGACCUUUUCUGUCACACUUACAGGCACAAAAACAUAACUGUAUAAUAAAUGUUUGAUACGCUA
ensembl:lncRNA